UAGGGAAUAUUGCACAAUGGGGGAAACCCUGAUGCAGCGACGCCGCGUGAAGGAAGAAGUAUCUCGGUAUGUAAACUUCUAUCAGCAGGGAAGACAAUGACGGUACCUGACUAAGAAGCCCCGGCUAACUACGUGCCAGCAGCCGCGGUAAUACGUAGGGGGCAAGCGUUAUCCGGAUUUACUGGGUGUAAAGGGAGCGUAGACGGAUCUGCAAGUCUGGAGUGAAAGCCCGGGGCUCAACCCCAGGGACUGCUUUGGGAAACUGUGGAUCUAGAGUGCCGGAGAGGUAAGCGGAAUUCCUAGUGUAGCGGUGAAAUGCGUAGAUAUUAGGAGGAACACCAGUGGCGAAGGCGGCCUGCUGGACUGGUACUGACGCUGAGGCACGAAAGCGUGGGGAGCAAACAGGAUUAGAUACCC
rnacentral:rRNA from 1 species